UUUUUGAUUAUUUGUAUGGUGCCCUUCCCUGCAAAAUUUUUACCAUAAGAAAUUUCAAAGGAAUUUCGUCAGUAGAGACUGUAGAGUGCAUAUGAUUCCACGGCAAUUCGAGUUUUGAAUGAAAUUGAUGAAACCCAACUCGCCUAUCUUCCUCAUUUGAUAGUCUGUAGCUGGCUGGCUAAAUCAACACCGAGUUCAACCCAUCGAGUUGAACUCGGUUCACUGCAAACAAAUGGCUUCGUGACCAAAGAGAAUUAUAACAAGAUGACUCAUUUUAUUCUUUGUACUGUAUCAUCAGAAUGCAGAAAGCAUUUUUGCUCCAUGAGAACGAAUAAAAG
rnacentral:lncRNA from 1 species